CAUACCUAUUCAGCCACCAAUUAUAUAACCCAGUCCAGUCUGAAACUCACAGCAAUCUACCUGCCUGUAUCCCCAAAUGCUUGGAGACUUCAGGAGCAUGGCACUUCAUCUGGCAAGAUGUGCAAUUGACUUAUUUUAGUGUGUUAGCAAGAUAUUACUAACACAUCAAGCCUACAAUGUCACGGAUACUAUUGCUGAAUACGAACGGUACAUAUUGAGGGACUUCUUCCCAAUAUCAGAAUUUUGGUGACGGCCUAUUGAGAUAUCAGAGGUUCAGUUGUGUGGAAC